AUUGAACGCUGGCGGCAUGCCUUACACAUGCGAGUCGAACGGCAGCACGGGUGCUUGCCCCUGGUGGCGAGUGGCGCACGGGUGAGUAAUACAUCGGGACAUGUCCUGUAGUGGGGGAUAGCCCGGCGAAAGCCGGAUUAAUACCGCAUACGAACUACGGAUGAAAGCGGGGGCCCUUCGGGCCUCGCGCUAUGGGGUUGGCCGAUGGCUGAUUAGCUAGUUGGUGGGGUAAAGGCCUACCAAGGCGACGAUCAGUAGCUGGUCUGAGAGGGCGACCAGCCACACUGGGACUGAGACACGGCCCAGACUCCUACGGGAGGCAGCAGUGGGGAAUUUUGGACAAUGGGCGAAAGCCUGACCCAGCAAUGCCGCGUGUGUGAAGAAGGCCUUCGGGUUGUAAAGCACUGUUGUCCGGAAAGAAAUCCUUGGCCCUAAUACGGGCGGGGGAUGACGGUACCGGAAGAAUAAGCACCGGCUAACUACGUG
rnacentral:rRNA from 1 species